GACGAACGCUGGCGGCGUGCUUAACACAUGCAAGUCGAACGGUGAAGCUCCAGCUUGCUGGAGUGGAUCAGUGGCGAACGGGUGAGUAACACGUGAGCAACCUGCCCCUGACUCUGGAAUAAGCGCUGGAAACGGCGUCUAAUACUGGAUACGAGAAGGGUCCGCAUGGGCACUUUCUGGAAAGUUUUUCGGUUGGGGAUGGGCUCGCGGCCUAUCAGCUUGUUGGUGAGGUAAUGGCUCACCAAGGCGACGACGGGUAGCCGGCCUGAGAGGGCGACCGGCCACACUGGGACUGAGACACGGCCCAGACUCCUACGGGAGGCAGCAGUGGGGAAUAUUGCACAAUGGGCGGAAGCCUGAUGCAGCGACGCCGCGUGAGGGAUGACGGCCUUCGGGUUGUAAACCUCUUUCAGCAGGAAAGAAGCGAGAGUGACGGUACCUGCAGAAGAAGCACCGGCUAACUACGUG
rnacentral:rRNA from 1 species